CUUCAAACAAAAUGGCGGCCUGUUUUGUAGCGAUAGCCUGCAGCUGGCCAGUAUCCUGCCUGGCCUGGCGUCCAUCCCUGGCAUUAUCCGGUCGGCAGUGGAACGGACUUCCCUGGAAAGAAGGCUCUUUAGUCUAAAGUUCAUCGAUGUCUGGAAACGUGAACUGGCAGAAGUAGGGAAGCAGAUUACAGAGCAGGAGAUGAAGCUCAUCAUGCAUCACUGCUGUCUGUCUGUAUAGAGUGGUCAAACACCAGCUUCAGUUGUUUACAAUGUCCUUGGUCUGAUUGAAGACUACUGGUCAUAUACUAGUAGACAAAUAUGAAAUUGUCAGGUAGAUUGGUUAGAAAUAGGUGUCCUAAUGAAUUGUAGAAUAGGACUGUGUUGUUUUAUUUUGUUCUCUUUGAUGCCAAGUCAUCUGAGUUGCACAUAUUUAGGACAAGGUCUCUAUAAAACUCCUGCUUGCUUGCUAACCACCGUGAUUAGCAAGGGAAAGUACUGAGCCAGCUGUCACUACGGAGGAUGAUACUCAGGGUAAUGAAACUGUAUAAAGCAUAUACUAAGUGAAUGUACAAUGAAUCUUGUAUUUAGCACAAUAAUUUGUAUCCUGCUGAUACUAAGUGUAAUGU